rnacentral:lncRNA from 1 species
CAGCUUUUGUCUCUGCCCCGGUCCCGGUGGUUCCCUUGGGCAUGCGUGCCCAAGUUCAGACUCCAUCCCCUCCCCCUGCCCUUUCUCCUCUGCGCUUCUGGCUGCGCCGAGCCGGGAACCCUAAGCUCUGGGAACUUCCCCGGUGGCGGCCGUCUUAGGGUCAGAGCAUGCUCAGUGGCCCGGACUUUUCGGUUGCAGAAGGAGCUGGCGGGGAUGGUCGAGGUAUUUGGAGGUGUUGAAGGCACUGUAGAUCCCAUGGUUUCCCAGCAUGCUUCCAAGACGUCAGGUACUGGAUACGUUCUCC